rnacentral:rRNA from 1 species
UUCCCAGACUCCUACGGGAGGCAGCAGUGGGGAAUAUUGGGCAAUGGGCGCAAGCCUGACCCAGCAACGCCGCGUGAAGGAAGAAGGCUUUCGGGUUGUAAACUUCUUUUAAGAGGGAAGAGUAGAAGACGGUACCUCUUGAAUAAGCCACGGCUAACUACGUGCCAGCAGCCGCGGUAAUACGUAGGGAGCAAGCGUUGUCCGGAAUUACUGGGCGUAAAGGGCGCGUAGGUGGGCGCUUAAGUCAGGUGUGAAAACUCCGGGCUCAACCUGGAGACUGCACUUGAAACUGGGUGUCUUGAGGGCAGGAGAGGAAAGCGGAAUUCCUAGUGUAGCGGUGAAAUGCGUAGAUAUUAGGAGGAACACCAGGGGCGAAGGCGACUUUCUGGACUGUACCUGACGCUGAGGCGCGAAAGCGUGGGUAGCGAACGGGAUUAGAUACCCCAGUAAU